UACGAGUGCCCCCGAGCGUUUAUCCGGAAUUAUUGGGCGUAAAGCGUGUGUAGGUGGCUUUGUUAGUCUUUUGUUAAAUUCUUCGGCUUAACCGGGGACCUGCGAGAGAAACGGCAAAGCUAGAGGAUGCGAGAGGUGUGCGGAACUCAUAGUGUAGGGGUGAAAUCCGUUGAUAUUAUGGGGAACACCAAAAGCGAAGGCAGCACACUGGCGCAUUCCUGACACUGAGACACUAAAGCGUGGGUAGCGAAUGGG
rnacentral:rRNA from 1 species